CACCGCGGUUAUACGAGAGGCCCAAGUUGACAGGAUCCGGCGUAAAGGGUGGUUAGGUAACUACUAACUAAAGCCAAACACUUCCAGAGCUGUUAUACGCAACCGAAAGUAUGAAGACCCUCCACGAAAGUGGCUUUAAACACCUGAAUCCACGAAAGCUAUGAAA
rnacentral:rRNA from 1 species